GGGUCAGUAGGUUGGUCGUGCCACCGGUACGUACUGGUCUCACUGAUUCCUCCUUCCUGAAGAACCGUAAUGCCAUUAAUUUGGUGUUGCGGGGAAACAGGACUGUUACUUUGAAAAAAUUAGAGUGUUUAAAGCAAGCUAACGCUUGAAUACAUUAGCAUGGAAUAAUGAAAUAGGACGAUCGAUCCUAUUUUGUUGGCUUCUAUGAUUGACGUA
rnacentral:rRNA from 1 species